UACGGAGCAUAUAAUGAUGGCUGCUGGAAUU
rnacentral:piRNA from 1 species